ensembl:antisense Gm44071 predicted gene, 44071
AGUGAAUCUACUUGAAAGCCAUCUUUAGAAUCAAAAUAUACCUUCAGCAUGUAGUCAAAACCUGAGCUGCUGGGAAGAACGAAUGAGAUUUAAUGGAGGAGAGAAGAGCAAGAAGAGAUGGAUGUUUGCAGCAUAUCCCAGAUUCUGUGUUCUUGGAAUGAAGAGGAGAAAAAAACAAGCAAAAGGCCUACUCCCUGCCCUCAGCUACAAUGUAAGCAGCCCCCUCCCACUCUCAAAUCCAUGCCUGGAUGGGAACACCAUGAUGAGGAAGACCCUUCAACUACAAGCAAAAUAAACCUAUCCUUCCUUAAGAUUUUUCUGUCAAAUUUCUUGUCAUAUUUUUGGUAAAAUAAACUAAUGUGAAAGACUGG